UGGAAAAUCUUGGGCAAGAGCCGAUGCUGCUCUUUACAGGAAAUUUUUUUCUUCCUCAGGGAAACUUCAGUUUUGCUCUUAAGACCGUUCAGCUGACUGGACAAAGCCCAUGCAGCAGAUUGUGAAGAUAAUCUUCAUUUACAGCCAAGUGAAGUAGAUGUUAAUCAUAUCUACAGAAUACCAUCAAAGCAACACCCUAAUUGGUAUUUGAUUGAAUAACUGGGUGCUGUAGCCUAGUCACAUUGAGACAGAAAAUAAACCAGCACAAGAGGGUUAAAAACGUGUUGCUUAAGAUUCAUUCAACGGAAGAAGCUGAGAAGGGCAUAAAUAGGGCUCCUGCAACGUCACCACCUGAUACAUGAUUCCUUUACUCUGAAGGUCAUGAGACAAAGGAACUGCUCGGGAGUGGACCUUCAAAGACCUUAUCACAGAUUGAACAUAACGAAGAAUCAUAGUGUUGCAGGAAUACGGGGACAAGAGAGGAUGGUCACAUCCCCGGUCUCGGGUGAGUCCGCUGGACGGCCGCCAAGGGAGGCUCCUUGGCUUCCUGCGGGAAAGAAUCCAAGAGCAGGCAGAGCGAAAGCAGAUUUAUUCAGGGAGACUUACACUCCAUUCGCGGAGUGUGGGCCGCCUCAGAAGGUGAAGGGGCCCGGAGGAAGGGGUGGUUAGUUUUUAUGGGCUGGGUGAUUUCAUAGGCUAACGAGUGGGAGGCUUAUUCCAACUAUUUUGGGGAAGGGGAGGGGAUUAUCAGGAACUGGUCCACAGCCCACGAUUUGGCCUUGUGUGGUUGUCCUCACUACUAUCAUAGUGCCUGUGGGUUUGUCAUUUAGAUGUUAAUACAUUACAGUGAGUGUAUAAUGAGGCUCAGGGUGUACUAGAAGUAGAAUCACCCACGAUUUGGGGCCUAGUAGUUGGCUAAGCAGUUUUUGUUGUAUCCUCAAUGGCUAUGCCAUUCUUUUAAGGUUGUGGCCUGCCCCCUUACCUCCGGUCUCCAUGGUGUGAGUUUACCUAAAUGACCUUUUUCCCCCACAAAUCCCACUGUUCUUUAGUGAAAGGAACCUCUUUCAAUCCAGCAAAGACCCCGUGAAGAUGUGUCUGUAAACCAGGUAACCGCCAUCAUAAAUGGGGUAGUGGGAGACAGAGGCAAAUGCAGAAACCGCCUUCCAUGAGAUUUGGGAGAAGGGACACCAAGAAGGUUCUUGUACCUCGUCCACCAGCUUUUGACCUGAAAAAUUCCUUCUCAUGAUGCUUUAGUCUCCAAAUUCUCCUGGGAAGAUUAUACCGUGCCUUACUUUCACACUAAAAAGCCUGUAUCACCAUUUUCCUUUUGUGAGGAGUAGACAGGGCCUUAGUGUUUAAAGAGAAGAAUCCAUAGAUAUGAAAACACACUGCCAAGUUUAAGACUAACAAGCUGCCAAUAACACCAACAAAACACUGAUGAGCCUAGGCAGCUCCCACAAGGAAGUCUCAGCCUCUUGAAACCAAAUCUGUAUCUCAAGGUUUCUGAAAUCAGUCAUAGUGUUUAUUUGAAAUGGUUUGAAUUAGAGCAGCACUCAGAAAAACUCUCUCUUAUUUUUCUUGUUUUGGGUUUGUUGCUCCUUAAUACUAUAUGGUCUUCCCUUCUGUCACUCGAUUUCAUUCCCUUGCUCUCAAGCUCCUUCCGUAAACUAUUUUAAUCUGUCCUAUUUCUGAUCCUGAAUUCCCACCUUGGUUCCCACUGGUUGUGUUUAUUCUUUAGCUCACAUGAUCCUUUCUUGGGUCGAGAGAGACCUGACUGCCCCAAGAUAUAACUCUGUCCUAAGACGACAAGAACCCAAGGUUAAAUCGCUGAGUUAAUAACUGCAUCUAUUAAAAAUAUUGUGAUCACCCUCCUGCUUUCAUCUGUUUUAUUUGAAGACAUAGGUUGGUAAUUAAUAUUUGUAUGCUUUAAAAAAUGGAAGAGAAAUUCCACCAGAUAGUGUGGAU